UUUGAUCCAUCCUCUUUCAGGUC
rnacentral:snRNA from 1 species